rnacentral:misc_RNA from 1 species
GAUGAAGAACGUAGCGAAAUGCGAUACGUAAUGUGAAUUGCAGAAUUCAGUGAAUCAUCGGGUCUUUGAACGCACAUUGCGCCCCCUGGUAUUCCGGGGGGCAUGCCUGUCCGAGCGUCAUUGCUGCCCUCAAGCACGGCUUGUGUGUUGGGCCUCCGUCCUCCUCCCGGGGGACGGGCCCGAAAGGCAGCGGCGGCACCGCGUCCGGUCCUCGAGCGUAUGGGGCUUCGUCACCCGCUCUUGUAGGCCCGGCCGGCGCUUGCCGACACAUCAAUCUUUUUUCCAGGUUGACCUCGGAUCAGGUAGGGAUACCCGCUGAACUUAAGCAUAUCAAUAAGCGGAGGA